CUCUUAUAGCCACCUCUUUACUCUCAAACAGUGAAGCAUGAAGGACUUUGACAGGAACAGAAUUGAAGACGCAGUUUACAGGGGUUAGAAAGGGAGAAAUUCGGGCCCGGGGCUCUGGAAGGUUGCAAGAUGGCAGUGGAGGGAGGCCUUGGCCGUUUUGCUGACUUUAAGUACUGGUACCCGAAGGAUGUGGUGGGAAAAGAAAGGCAGAGAAGAACCAGAGAGCAGCCUUGGGAUUCAGCACAGCAUUAGCUAAGCUGGCCAGGCAAAACUCUAAAGUGCUCACCGAGACUUCGAGACUUCCCUCUUAUGAAUGUGGUGUGGCUCUCCCAUUUAAGGCGUGUGUGAACCAGCCAAGGACUUGGAGCCCAUGAGAAGGAUGCCAGUCUGACACUUGGAUGGGCAAGGAAUGGCUAUUUGGGGACGCUAAAGAUAGACCAUACCCGCGGCCCUAGGAUUGGAGGAAGAUUCAAGGCCAGUCUAGGCCAGAGACCCUGCCUCAAAACAACAAUAAUGACAACAACAAGACAUCAUGGUAGGCCUGAUGUCCUCGCUCACCUGAAGUCUCGCAGCCACCACGGAGCUUGUCUCUGAGAGCUGGGUGUGCUCUUUACCCAGAGGAUGUGGUGCUCCGAUUCCGGCCCAUCUGCAGCCUUUUGUUCUUUUGUGGAUUCUGGGCUCCCUGUUGCUACAGAGAGAGACAGCCACCCUACAGAAGACCUUGUCUGUGAGUCAGUAAACACUCCCUGACAUCAUGCUGACACACCUACCCACCUGUAUAAUGGGUACACUUCAGCUACAGUAACCUUCCCCCACACUUCCUGGGAGUUACACAUUACUUCUCUGGAAUUUCCUUCUCCUGUAGCCUGACCACAGGCUCAUGCUAUGGAAUCUUACUGCUGUGAGGCCCAGAGAGAAAGAUACACGGUCUCUCAGGCCUGAGCUUCCAUUAGAGACCGGCCAUGCUGUCUGUCUGUCAGUGAUGCUAAGGACUUGACUCUGCUCACAACCCAGGCUAUGCUGGUCUCCACUGGCCUGUUUGUAUGUCUAAGGCAUUCAUUAAAAACUCAUCUAAUAAACUUCUUAGCCAAAA